AUUGAACGCUGGCGGCAGGCCUAACACAUGCAAGUCGAACGGUAACAGGAAGAAGCUUGCUUCUUUGCUGACGAGUGGCGGACGGGUGAGUAAUGUCUGGGAAACUGCCUGAUGGAGGGGGAUAACUACUGGAAACGGUAGCUAAUACCGCAUAAUGUCGCAAGACCAAAGAGGGGGACCUUCGGGCCUCUUGCAAUCGGAUGUGCCCAGAUGGGAUUAGCUAGUAGGUGGGGUAACGGCUCACCUAGGCGACGAUCCCUAGCUGGUCUGAGAGGAUGACCAGCCACACUGGAACUGAGACACGGUCCAGACUCCUACGGGAGGCAGCAGUGGGGAAUAUUGCACAAUGGGCGCAAGCCUGAUGCAGCUAUGCCGCGUGUAUGAAGAAGGCCUUCGGGUUGUAAAGUACUUUCAGCGGGGAGGAAGGGAGUAAAGUUAAUACCUUUGCUCAUUGACGUUACCCGCAGAAGAAGCACCGGCUAACUCCGUG
rnacentral:rRNA from 1 species